rnacentral:rRNA from 1 species
UACGGAGGGUGCAAGCGUUAUCCGGAUUCACUGGGUUUAAAGGGAGCGUAGGUGGGCUGGUAAGUCAGUGGUGAAAUCCCCCGAGCUUAACUUGGAACUGCCGUUGAUACUAUCUGUCUUGAAUAUUGUGGAGGUGAGCGGAAUAUGUCAUGUAGCGGUGAAAUGCUUAGAUAUGACAUAGAACACCAAUUGCGAAGGCAGCUCACUACACAAUCAUUGACUCUGAGGCACGAAAGCGUGGGGAUCAAACAGG